rnacentral:ribozyme from 1 species
CUAAGCACUAUAGCUGUAGAUUGAUUGAUAUUUUUUAUCUCUGUCUUCAAUUUUAUUUACAGUUUAUAUAUAACUCUAUCAUUCAACCCCUCUCCUCUCUUACUCUGUAGUCAUAACGAAACGGUAAAUUUUCCUUCAUUUUCCUAACAUUGGGCAUACGGAGGAACCCAACCUCUGGAGAGGAUGCAAGGUAUGGAAAAAUUGAGAAUG